rnacentral:tRNA from 1 species
GGAAGUGUGCCCGAGAACAAGGAAUACUUUGAUAGAGUAAACACAGAGACAUAAACCCUCUCACUUCCCACACCA